rnacentral:rRNA from 1 species
AUAUCAAUAAGCGGAGGAAAAGAAACCAACAGGGAUUGCCUUAGUAACGGCGAGUGAAGCGGCAAUAGCUCAAAUUUGAAAUCUGGCCUUCUGGUCCGAAUUGUAAUUUGUAGAGGCAGCUUCGAGCGUGGUCCAGUCUAAGUUCCUUGGAACAGGACGUCAUAGAGGGUGAGAAUCCCGUAUGUGACUGGGUGCCUAGCCUCAUGUGAAGCUCCUUCGACGAGUCGAGUUGUUUGGGAAUGCAGCUCAAAAUGGGUGGUAAAUUUCAUCUAAAGCUAAAUACUGGCCAGAGACCGAUAGCGCACAAGUAGAGUGAUCGAAAGAUGAAAAGCACUUUGGAAAGAGAGUUAAAUAGUACGUGAAAUUGUUGAAAGGGAAGCGCUUGCAAUCAGACUUGCAUGCAAUUGAUCAUCCGAUGUUAUCACCGGUGCACUCAAUUACAUUCAGGCCAGCAUCGGUUUUAGUGGUUGGAUAAAGGCCUAGGGAAUGUAGCUUCCUUCGGGGAGUGUUAUAGCCUUAGGUGCAAUGCAGCCUACUGGGACCGAGGACCGCGCUUCGGCUAGGAUGCUGGCGUAAUGGUUGCAAGCGA